AUAGUCUAGCUAAGUUUGCUCGUUUAGAAGGCAGAACCAUGACUUAAUAGGUUCAGGGCCUUUAGAGGCAUUGGAGUUUGCAGUGUUUGAUUGUAUGGACCUUGUACAUUAUUUCACCUGGAAAAAAACGUGCUACCAUCCCAGCACACGUGUACAACCUUGUUUUCCUUACAGAAUUUACAUCUCUUCUUUGAGAGGGUAAAUCCCCUUUUCUCUCCUCUGGCAGCUCUGAGAGGGGAAUGGGGAAGGGAGCGGCUUCACCAAAUCUUGAGGCCUGCCCAUGGAUCACCAAAGCAAAUCUGGGAAGGAGAUUCUUUUGGAGUCUAGAUCUGACCGAGUGCUCCAGCCGCACGCGGAUUCUGCGGCGCCCAGCAGCGAGACCGCAUCUCGCCGUUGCUGAUCUGCAGAGGCAAAAGCGGUCGCCGGGAGGCCAUGGGAGAGUAUAAGAGAUUGCUCUCCUGUUCGUGGCGCUGGGACCAUGAGCUAUGUCGUCCGAUUGAACGACCAUCUUGUUCCUUGCCGUUCGUGGCAGAGAUGGGUAGGGAUAAGUAUAUGAAUGUCUUAUACUACUCUCCAUCCUCCUCCUCUGUCCUAGCAGUAUAUAUGUACUUUAUUAGUUGUAAAUGUUAAGUAAUUCAGAGGUAACGUUGAGUUACUUGUCAUUGAUGUGUAUUGCAUUUUUUAGGGAAUGAAACUUAUAUUAUUUUGUUUUUGAUAUUCUGUCCAAUUUUGAUUGUUGUCUAUUCAACACAUCCGUAGCAAUUAUAUGAAGUUUUCUAUAUUAAAAGGUAAAUCCAUUGUAUCCAUCUACUACGUAUGCCAAUCUUUGUUAUGCUCAUUGUCUUCUCUGCACUUGUUAACAUGUAUAUACAUGAGAGGUGUCAGAAAAUGGUAAUCUGCAUUAGCAUGUAAUUGAUCUCUUUGCAUUUGUAGAGUCAAACGCGGAGGAAAGUUGUGGGAUCUCUCUGCAUUUUUUGAGAGUUUGGAUUUGUUUGGAGAGAUUGCAUCUCUACAUUUUUGUGGGGAGGAUUGUGGAGUUUGGCCAUGUUUGGUUAUUGAGAGAUUUUACCCUGUACGUGCCAAUUUUUUUUAUUAUGGGAUGGUUUGAUCGCUUGUGGGAUGGUCCAGCCUGUUUUUUUAGAGUUGAUGUCCAGCUUAUUGGGAUCGUGAGAUUGAGUGUAGAGGUCCGAACUUGUUACGAUCUCACGUCCGAGAAAUUUACCCUGCUUGCAACAUUAUGGGUCCAAUCUGUUGUGAUCUCAUGUUACGGGGCCACCUUGUUUAUAAAUAUCUAACGGUUGUACUUUGUUGAUUGGAAAUAAACACACAUAAUUAAAGGCCAGAUGUUUCUAAUUGUUGUGGGAUUUUUUAAGCUAAUUAUCUUUAUUCUGGUGAACCGGUCAACACGUCCGAGAAAUUUUACCUUGGGGUAGGGAUAAGUAUAUCAAUGUCUUACUACUCUCCCAUCCUCAUCCUCUCUCCUAGCAGUAUAUAUGUAAUUUAUUAGUUGAUUUACUUAGUUGAUAUAAAUGUUAAGUGAUUCAUAGGUAACGUUGAGUUACUUAGUUAUUUUGUUAAAUUACAAUUUAGAUGAUAACCUCGUACAUUCUGUUGUUAUUCAUGUAACUGAGUAUCAUUUAUAGGAUAUAAAUUAUAGAGUAAUUUUACUUGUCAUUGAUGUGUAUUACAUUUUUUAGGGAAUGAGACUUAUAUUUUUUAUUUGAUAUUUUGUCCAGUUUUGAUUAUUGUCUCUUGAACACAUCCGUAGCAAUUAUAUGAAGUUUUGUAUAUUAAAAGGUAAAUCCAUUGUAUCCAUCUACUAUGUAUAAGCCAAUCUUUGUUAUGCUGAUUGUCUUCUAUGUGCCUGUUAACAUGUAUAUACAUGAUAGCGGUGUCAGAAAAUGGUAAUCUGCAUUAGAAUUGAUUGAUCUCUUUCCAUUUGUAGGGAGUCAAACGCGAAGGCAAGUUGUGGGCUUCCUAGUUGCUACUGCUUUCGGCUUCCACCUAUGUAAUGUGUGCUACAACUUUGCAUCAUUCCUACAUCCCUCCACAUCGGCUUAUUCUUCAUAGAUGAGAGGUUGUUGGGACCUCAGCAGGUCGGUCUUGACUUCAUUGGGCAUCGAGUUCCACGAUGAUGUCGCAACUUUGGAUGAAUAUCGAUGUUCGUACAACAUCGUGUCCAGAAUCACAUGCUUCAAUUUGUAGCACCCUGACUAUGCUUAACGGCUUGGAUAAUUCCAGUGGAAUGGCUGUAGGGUUACCUCCUCCUCCUCCUCGCCUCGGCCACCGGCACUUCUUUGGAGCUUGCAUCCACGCCCAUCAUGUGUUAGCUGUUCGGGGCCCUCUGUCAUAUUCGUAUAUGUGAUGUAGGUCAUUCUCUCUCCCUCGGCAAGCCUAGCUUUCUUUGCUAUUGUUGGUCUCCAGCGGUGAGACUUCAUCCUUGAUCAGGUUAUCUUCCCAAGGAUUUAAGGAAAGCCUCUAUAUCAUAGACUAUAUUAAUUGAGAUGAUUAGGUUCCUGUGCUAGGAGCCAAAGUGAUUGUUCCUCCACCGCCUACAUGUAAUCUGAUUGAGCGAUCAAUGAUAUUAAAACAAGUACUUACUUAUAAUGA